UCAGAUUGAACGCUGGCGGCAGGCCUAACACAUGCAAGUCGAACGGUAACAGGAAGCAGCUUGCUGCUUCGCUGACGAGUGGCGGACGGGUGAGUAAUGUCUGGGAAGCUGCCUGAUGGAGGGGGAUAACUACUGGAAACGGUAGCUAAUACCGCAUAAUGUCGCAAGACCAAAGAGGGGGACCUUCGGGCCUCUUGCCAUCGGAUGUGCCCAGAUGGGAUUAGCUUGUUGGUGGGGUAACGGCUCACCAAGGCGACGAUCCCUAGCUGGUCUGAGAGGAUGACCAGCCACACUGGAACUGAGACACGGUCCAGACUCCUACGGGAGGCAGCAGUGGGGAAUAUUGCACAAUGGGCGCAAGCCUGAUGCAGCCAUGCCGCGUGUAUGAAGAAGGCCUUCGGGUUGUAAAGUACUUUCAGCGGGGAGGAAGGGAGUAAAGUUAAUACCUUUGCUCAUUGACGUUACCCGCAGAAGAAGCACCGGCUAACUCCGUGCCAGCAGCCGCGGUAAUACGGAGGGUGCAAGCGUUAAUCGGAAUUACUGGGCGUAAAGCGCACGCAGGCGGUUUGUUAAGUCAGAUGUGAAAUCCCCGGGCUCAACCUGGGAACUGCAUCUGAUACUGGCAAGCUUGAGUCUCGUAGAGGGGGGUAGAAUUCCAGGUGUAGCGGUGAAAUGCGUAGAGAUCUGGAGGAAUACCGGUGGCGAAGGCGGCCCCCUGGACGAAGACUGACGCUCAGGUGCGAAAGCGUGGGGAGCAAACAGGAUUAGAUACCCUGGUAGUCCACGCCGUAAACGAUGUCGACUUGGAGGUUGUGCCCUUGAGGCGUGGCUUCCGGAGCUAACGCGUUAAGUCGACCGCCUGGGGAGUACGGCCGCAAGGUUAAAACUCAAAUGAAUUGACGGGGGCCCGCACAAGCGGUGGAGCAUGUGGUUUAAUUCGAUGCAACGCGAAGAACCUUACCUGGUCUUGACAUCCACGGAAGUUUUCAGAGAUGAGAAUGUGCCUUCGGGAACCGUGAGACAGGUGCUGCAUGGCUGUCGUCAGCUCGUGUUGUGAAAUGUUGGGUUAAGUCCCGCAACGAGCGCAACCCUUAUCCUUUGUUGCCAGCGGUCCGGCCGGGAACUCAAAGGAGACUGCCAGUGAUAAACUGGAGGAAGGUGGGGAUGACGUCAAGUCAUCAUGGCCCUUACGACCAGGGCUACACACGUGCUACAAUGGCGCAUACAAAGAGAAGCGACCUCGCGAGAGCAAGCGGACCUCAUAAAGUGCGUCGUAGUCCGGAUUGGAGUCUGCAACUCGACUCCAUGAAGUCGGAAUCGCUAGUAAUCGUGGAUCAGAAUGCCACGGUGAAUACGUUCCCGGGCCUUGUACACACCGCCCGUCACACCAUGGGAGUGGGUUGCAAAAGAAGUAGGUAGCUUAACCUUCGGGAGGGCGCUUACCACUUUGUGAUUCAUGACUGGGGUGAAGUCGUAACAAGGUA
rnacentral:rRNA from 1 species